UACGUAGGGGCCAAGCGUUGUCCGGAUUUAUUGGGCGUAAAGAGCUCGUAGGCGGUUGGGUAAGUCGGGUGUGAAAACUCCAGGCUCAACUUGGAGAUGCCACCCGAUACUGCUCUGGCUUGAGUUCGGUAGGGGAGUGGGGAAUUCCUGGUGUAGCGGUGAAAUGCGCAGAUAUCAGGAGGAACACCGGUGGCGAAGGCGCCACUCUGGGCCGAAACUGACGCUGAGGAGCGAAAGCGUGGGUAGCAAACAGG
rnacentral:rRNA from 1 species